AUAAUCGGUCAUACUUUACAUGACUACUACAACAUUAGAAUUAAAUGGGUGUCACUGAUCCUACGUACGUACGUAGCGUCUCAGUUCCACAGACGACUGCCAUGCUGGUUUGUAUUUAUCUGUGCAUAUGUUCUGUUCUUGAUUUACAACAGGAAAUGAAGUACAUUUCUUUAUCACUAUCUUCCUUCAGUCGUACCGAAAUAGGCCUGUUUUCGAAUCUAUUUAGCGUCACGGUCAAUUAAAGAGUGUUUUUAAUCUCAACCCAUUGUCCGUGGGUUAUAAUGUUCAUUAAGCAAUUUUAAACCACAGUACAUAAAUAUAUGUGUAAAAUAUCCAAAAGUGUGUAUGUAUUGCCAGAAGUUUGUCCACAUAUAUGGGAAAUCAUGUAUCACCUGACACUAUUGCAUUGCAAUUGUGAAAUUAAUAUAAUUUCGUAAUGGUGGUCAACCCGCUUUCCACCUGGCCUGCAUUAUCCAAACCCUGCAGGGAGCAUCUCCUACACUAUUCAGGAUGAAUUGGAACAAUAUGGCUGUCAAAGGGUGAACCAAAAGUAAUCCGUACACAAACCACCCUUUCUGGAGAUCCAUCUCAAAAUUAGAAACCCUAAAGUUUCAGGGUACUUAUUAUUACCAAACUACUGUUCUAUUCGAGUAUAUACAAAAAUAAAAAUCUAUUUAUCCCA